rnacentral:lncRNA from 1 species
CCACUCCUUCACUGACAUCAACUGCGUCCAUUCUUUUUCACACAUGAAAUCCAUUUAUUUACUUAUUUAUUUUUGUCUUGAAGUCUGGCUCUGCAAAUGGCAGCAGGUCAGGAAGUGCUGCAGGAGAUGGUCUGCUGCUGCAGUGACAGCCAGCCACCCCUGUUCAAGUCUCUGUCUCAUGAAUCUUUGUUUAAAAUGGCUUAAAGAGGCUUUUGGCCAUCUGAACUUCCACAGUUUAUGAAAGUUUCUGCUGUGUGACACAAUACACGAUUUUACUGAAAAAAAUGGCAAUGCAAAGGAUAGCUGAAAAGCAACCAAUCACCAUUAUGUCAGUUUCACUGACUUAUCCUUACUACAUGACCCUUUCUCUUCUGGAUAUGUAGAUAAUUCUAUUUACUCUUUUGUAUUAUGUUCUGUCUUCAAGCAAAUGUUUGAGCAAAAACCUUGGAAAUGAAUGCAGCUAUGGUCACACGUACCUUACUAAAUCAAACAUAUACUUCUAUUUGGGAUAAACUACAUUUUGAGUUGCAACACUGCCCUGGACACUAUGGCUGUUCAGUGAUAGUUACUGCUAUGAAAUGCUUUCUCUGAUCUUUCAGGACUGCAGGAUCCCAUCAAUCAUCAGGGAAAGUGCUGAAGUUUAGAUUCAAAAUUACUUUGCACUGACAGUUUAAAUUAAAUAUGUCUUCGUUAUCCUGAAUGGUACACAAACAAGCCUCCAUAAUUUCCUAUUAAAAAUCUUUUUGUUUCUGCUUCUCUUUUCAUAGAGUCAUAGAAUGGUUUGGAUUGGAAGAGACCUUAAUGAUCACCUACUCCAGCCCUCCUGGCACGGGCAGGGUCACCUCCCACUAGAAAUUUAUUUUAUUCAUGCCUACCAUCACUUGUCCUGCAUCUGAAUCAAGUUCAGUGCCAAAUAUUUGAUAUGUCCCCUGCGAGAUCUGCUGCAUGCAGCUUGGUGUGAUGCAAAUGCUGAACAAGGUGCGUCCAGGGCUCCAGGUGAACAGAGCAGGCAGUCCUGCCUUGGUGGUUCCUACCCUUCGCAGAAAGGCUCCUUGCGUGCCUCACCAGGCUCCUCUGGUAAUGAUGCAGCCCUGUACUUCAAUGGCACCAUUAACCUGGAAAUCCUCCAGCAUUUUAAAGAGGAAGCCUCUUAUUUUACACUUACAGUGUUUCUGUUGGGCCUUGAAGACUAAGCAAUCCAACAAGAAAAUAUUAUUGGUCAUGAGGCAGCGCUUGAUCACCAACAAAUCACAUGUAUGUAGCUCAUGCCUAGACUGUGUAUUGCCCUAAAUAAUUGCUAACCUUUCAUUUCUUAAUCUCUUGAGGAAGGGGUGUUCUCACUGAGAGAAAUGCAUCCUGUGUACCUAUCAAGCCGUUUCAUUUCCUUCUUGAGAGCCUUACUCUCUGUGCUCUUUCUAUUGUUAGACAUGGACUGGAAAGACAGAAGUAGACAGGACAGCCAUUUGCAGCUGUUGGAGGAAUCCUUGGCCCAUACUAGCAGCAGCAGUAAGGGGUCUCUCAGAACCUCAGUUUUUAUUUUUCUAAAAAAGGAGGUAUAGGUGGGUGGGAAUAAUGCAGAGCACCCACUGGGCUCUGGCAAGGAGCUAUUGAGUGCUGCGCUAGGUACAGAUGUGUGCUUAUAGCUGCUCUGCAAAGACACUGAGCACGCUGUGCACAAUCCACUGAUGCUUUUGCAGUCCAGGCAAGGAUGGAAUUAAUAAAUGAUGAAGAAGCAAAUUUCA